UACGUAGGCAGCAAGCGUUGUUCGGAGUUACUGGGCGUAAAGGGUGCGUAGGUGGCUCUAUAAGUAUGGUGUGAAAUCUCCCGGCUUAACUGGGAGGGUGCGCCGUAGACUGUGGGGCUAGAGUGUGGGAGAGGAAAGUGGAAUUCCUGGUGUAGCGGUGAAAUGCGUAGAUAUCAAGUGGAACACCAGUGGCGAAGGCGAGUCCCUGGACAACUCCUGACACUGAGGCACGAAAGCUAGGGGAGCAAACAGG
rnacentral:rRNA from 1 species